rnacentral:rRNA from 1 species
AUACGUAGGGAGCGAGCGUUGUCCGGACUUACUGGGUGUCAAGGGUGCGUAGGCGGUACUGCGUGUCAGAUGUGAAAUGCCGGGGCUCAAACCCGGAGCUGCAUUUGAAACUGUGGUUCUUGAGUGAGGUAGAGGUAAGCGGAAUUCCUAGUGUAGCGGUGGAAUGCGUAGAUAUUAGGAGGAACAUCAGUGGCGAAGGCGGCUUACUGGGCCUUUACUGACACUGAGGCACGAAAGCGUGGGGAGCAAACAGGAUUAGAUACCCUGGUAGUCCUCGCUGUAAACGAUGAUGACUAGGUGUGGGGGGACUGAACCCUUCCGUGCCGCAGUUAACACAAUAAGUCAUCCACCUGGGGAGUACGGCCGCAAGGUUGAAACUCAAAUGAAUUGACGGGG